UUGAUUUUGUUGUUCAUUUUGCUGAUUUCUUUGUACCAAGUUUUUGAAAGCUAUUUGCUGCAGAAAGAAAGAAAAAGCAAUCACUGAAUGAAGACAUCAAUGUUUCCAGGAACUGGAACUUUACAGCUCUUCUCUGCCAACUCUCAGUGCCUCCAGUAACAUUCUAUCAGCAGGUGCUGUUUGUGACAUCAACCCCUCUCUACCAUUUUGCCAUAUUGGACCAUGCAGGAAAAUAUGUGGUUUUAAGAAACAUUAUUUGAGGGAUUGGAAGUCCGUGUACUCACCCACUUUGAGGCACUUCCACUCUUUGUUUGGACUAUUCACCUGAGACUCGAUGGAAAUAAUGACAUUUCAGAAGCAAAGAGAGUCAGCGCUAAAUAAUGCGUUGUCCAAUGCUUACUGAAGGAAGACAACAGCACACAGUUUGACUGAAUUUGAAAGAAAAAGAUGAUGACUUUGGAUGUUGUCUGAGUCCACUGUCAGACAGCUGGUAACAUACAGCGUUUGGGAACUGUCAUAGCACAUUACUUCAUGUUGCUACCCUGUUAUUCCAAAGCAGUCUCACAGCAGAUACACACCAACUAAAAAGCUGACUGUGUUAAUGAAGAGAGCUGAACUAAAAUGAUGGCUCUGAAGAUGCUGUGAAAGCCUGCAUGUGUCAGGCUGUGCAAUUCAGAACCUUCAGUCUGAGUAAUCCCACCUCCAGCAUCUUCCUAGCAGCAACAGCAGCAAUCCCUGUCCAUGGUGCUUACUGAGUGAAUGAAAAAGCUGUCUGAGGAGAUAAACAGCCAGCAAGAAAACCAACCUUAACAACUGCACACCUGUUUCCACUGGCACACAGGAACAGACAUUUCCAUACAGCAAAGUUAAAACAAACAGCGAAGCAACUAGUGUGUGUAACUCUGUGUUCACAUGCUUAAGACAUAAGCACUUCAUAUGCUAAGGACUGUAUUCUUUUUAACUGUGGAAGAGCUAGAAGCUGUGAGCUAACAUAUAGCAAAAAUAGCAUAAAUAAAGGAAGAAAAAAAAAUCAUAACAGA